rnacentral:rRNA from 1 species
UACGUAGGGUGCAAGCGUUGUCCGGAAUUAUUGGGCGUAAAGAGCUCGUAGGCGGUCUGUCGCGUCUGCUGUGAAAACCUGGGGCUUAACCCCGGGCCUGCAGUGGGUACGGGCAGACUAGAGUGUGGUAGGGGAGUCUGGAAUUCCUGGUGUAGCGGUGAAAUGCGCAGAUAUCAGGAGGAACACCGGUGGCGAAGGCGGGACUCUGGGCCGAUACUGACGCUGAGGAGCGAAAGCGUGGGGAGCAAACAGG